rnacentral:lncRNA from 1 species
AUGCUCUAUCCAUCUGUAGGCUUUCCUCAGUACACAGAUACUCUAUCCUCGGUAGGUUUUUCCUCAGUACACAGAAUGGGUCUUUUAGAAUAUUUAAUGGACUUAGAGGGGUGAUGUGACAUUAUUUUAAUAUAUUUUUAGGAAGUUGUCUGAUUUCAGGAGAGUAUUUAAACUUCAUAUUACAGAGGUAAAACUAGUUGCCUCUGAGGAAAACAUAUUCACUACAUUUUUUGAGAUUGUGAUUGGCUGAUAGGUGGUGACUGGUUACAGUUUGUGAAGGAACACUGAUUGUAAAAAAUGUUUAAACAUUCUCUUUCUAUUGGCGAUGAUGUAAUAAAGGCCCCUGAUUGUUGAAAGUCACUUUGGUUACAGUACAUGAUCAGUGUGAUGACAACGGAGAGGUCGGGGGUCAUUGGCUGAUUUGAUUUUGGCAACUGGCUCCAAUAACAAGAAUUUCCUGAAGGAAGCCAUGUUUCUGUUCUGUGUCGGCCGAUGUAUUCAAGAAAAACAAAUUAUACUACUGUGAAGUCUGCGUUGUUUUAUUUAUCAUCGCUAGAAUCAAGUCUCUUGUAAAAUAGUGAAACCACAAGUAACAGAAUACAUUUUAUGAAAUAUAAUUAUGCCACAAAAUAGCAAC